rnacentral:rRNA from 1 species
GCCUACGGGGGGCAGCAGUAGGGAAUCUUCCACAAUGGGCGAAAGCCUGAUGGAGCAACGCCGCGUGGGUGAAGAAGGUCUUCGGAUCGUAAAACCCUGUUGUUAGAGAAGAAAGUGCGUGAGAGUAACUGUUCACGUUUCGACGGUAUCUAACCAGAAAGCCACGGCUAACUACGUGCCAGCAGCCGCGGUAAUACGUAGGUGGCAAGCGUUAUCCGGAUUUAUUGGGCGUAAAGGGAACGCAGGCGGUCUUUUAAGUCUGAUGUGAAAGACUUCGGCUUAACCGGAGUCGUGAAUUGGAAACU